CGUGGCCGCGCCCCGCCCUCGGGGAGGCUGCGGCGCCCGCGCGGCGGAGGGAGAGGCCGGCCUGCGGGCAGGUGCGCCCGGCGGCGCCGCCUGUGAGCCUGCCGCGAGGCCCGCCUCGGGACGCCCGGGUCCGUGAGGCUCCGUGAGAGCCGCUCCAGGGACUCUGGGUUUUCCCGGACCUGCGGGGUGUGCACUAGUGGGAAGCUGGACCAGAAGCGGAGGUGGAGACAGGACUCGAUUGCAGUGGCUGAGGUGGGCCAGAGGGAAACCCGGAAAGAAGAACUCAUUCUUGCGGGUGGAGGAACCUAAUUGCUCAAACUAUCACUGCUGCCUCCCAGGUGCUCAUUAGCAGGAUGCUGGAAUUGGGAUCUGGGCUGGGACUCAAACCAAGGCACCUCCAUGUGGGAUGAGGUAAGACUGCUUUUCAUUUUUCUCUCUUCUUUAGCUUUUAACACUGCCAACAUUUGCAAAAGAGAAUAGCUUUUCUACUGAUUUUCUUGGGAAUCCCAAACUUCUAGUCUUGUCCUUAAAAAAAGCUGAGGCCCUUUCAGAGAGUCUUGCAAAGUAAAAUUAUUUUUAUGAUAAUACGGAGACUAUCUACUUUUUUUUUUUUAAAAAAAGCUUUAUUUAUUUAUUUGAAAGGCAGAGUUACAGAGAGAGAAAGAGAGAGAGAGAGAGAGAGAGAGAUCUUCCCUUCUCUAGUUCACUCCCUAGAUGGCCGCAAAGGCCAAAGCUAGCCAAUCCAAACCAGGAGCCAGGAGCUUCUUCCAGGUCUCCCACAUGGGUGUUAUGGUCCAAACGCUUGGACUGUUUUCCGAUAGUUUUCCCAGGUGCAUCAGCAGGGAGCUGGAUCAGAAGUGGAGUAGCCAGGUCUGAAGCUGGUGCCCACAUGGGAUGCUGGCACCACAGUCAGCCCUACCUGCUACAACACAGUGGUACCUUCUUCAAUGUGUUGACUCUUGCACUGAUGGUGGAAAGCAAUGGUGUGUAAAAUUGUUGGCACAUCAGUGGCCCCACCACAGACUAAUAGUCACUGCAUUCCUUUAUUUUCAGAGAAAUGUUCAUUUUUCAGUGAACUUUUUUGGUAGAAAGUUUUGAAUUUAUUUAUUUAUUUGAAAGGCAGAGACAUAGAGCCAGAAAGAGAUCUUCUAUCCACUGUUUCAUUGCCCAGUGCCUGCAACAGCUAAGGCCGCACCGGGCCGGAGUCAGGAAGCCGGGACUCCACAGGGGUGUCCCAGGUGGGUGGCUGGGAGACAAGCACCUGGGCCAUCACCUGCUGACGUCCAGGUGUCUGUUACAGGAAGCUGGACUCAGAAGCACAGGAGCUGGUACUGGAGCCAGUUGUUCCAACAUGGAAUGCAGGCGUCAAAAGUGAUGCCUUUAACUGCUGGACCACAACACCGGCCCAGCGAUUGUAUUCUUCAUCGCUGCAUACUUGCCGCAAAAAAGAAAAUACCAGUUUCAUUUAAAAGUGCCUUUGAUGGAAAGUAAAGAUUAUUAAUUUUAUUGAAUAUUGGCCUUCAAGUAUGUGCCUUUUAAAAAUUCUGGGUGAUAAAUUUGAAGGACACAUGAAGAACUUCUGCAUGUACAAGAGUGGGCUCUCUUGAGGAGAAGGUUUGUGUGCUUGAGUUUCCGGCAAAGCUGGAAACUGCUUUUCAUGUGGUAUCACUUUUUUUUUUUUUUUUUUAAGAUUUACUCAUUUUAUUUGAGAGGCAGAGAAGUUUAUCAUCUGCUGGUUUAUUCCCCAAAUGUCUGCAAUGGCUGGAGUUGGGCUGAUUGGAAGCCGGGGACCUAUCCCAGGCCGUAGCAGAGCACUGGAUGGGAAGUGGAGCAGCCGGGACUCAAACCGGCACCCAUAUGGGAUGCCAGCACUGCAGGUGGAGGCUUAGCCCACUAUGCCACAGCACCGGCCCCAUGAUAUCAACUGGCCCAGCCCUGGCUAUUGCAGCUAUUUGGAGAGUGAAACAGUGGAUAGAAGCUCGCUUUCUCUCUCUCAAAAAUAAUGAAGUACGCUACAACACGGAUUAAUCUUGAAAACAUCAUACUAAGUAAAAAUAAGCCAGACAAAAAAGUCGUAUAUUGUAUGAUUCCAUCUAAAUGAAACAUGCGGAAUAGAUAAAUACAUGGAGAUGGGAAACAGAUUGGUGGUUGCCAGGUGUUUGCCUUAGGGAAGAAAGGAAUGGUGCUAGCUAUUCCAUGGAUGUAGGGUUUCCUUUUAGGGUGGUGAGAUUAUUUGGAGCUAGUUAGAUAGGGUGACUGCCGGCGCCGCAGCUCACUAGGCUAAUCCUCUGCCUGCGGUGCCAGUACCUCGGGUUCUAGUCCCAGUUGGGGCGCUGGAUUCUGUCUUUGUUAUUCCUCUUCCAGUCCAGCUCUGUGCUGUGGCCCGGGAGUGCAGUGAAGGAUGGCCCAAGUGCUUGGGCCCUGCACCCCAUGGGAGACCAGGAAGAAGCACCUGGCUCCUGGCUUCGGAUUGGUGCGGUGUGCCAGCCGUAGCGGCCAUUUGGGGGGUGAACCCACGGAAAAGGAAGACCAUUCUGUCUCUUUCUCUCUCUAACUCUGCCUGUCCAAAAAAAAAAAAAAAAAAAGGGCGAUUAUAAAACAUUGUGAUUCAAUUAAUGCUAUUGAACUGCUCACUUUGCCAUUGUUAUUUUUAUGUUUUGAGAAUUUCACUUCAAUUUAAAAAAGUCAUGGCUGGAUUAUCAACAGAUACAGGCCCUGGCACUCAGCAGGGCACAUAAUUUCUUUCUGAAUUUUACUCAAAUAAGCAAAAGGAGCGCGAUCUGUUUUCUUUCUGUUGGCUGUGUUUCUAGUAUCUAGUGCUAGUGUAAUCAUUAUUUUGGCUAUUAUCAGACUGAGCAAUGCAGUUUUUGCUUUGAUAUUCUUCCUAGUUGUUGUGUCAGGAAGAAGGCAGAAUUAGGGAGUAUGCUAAAAUCAAAUCAGUAUUUCUUACAUAAAUGAUCAGUUGGGUGAGUCUGUUUUUAGUCACAAAAUCUCUUUUGAAGUCUAAAAGCAAGAAAGAAACUUGAGAUUGUUGACGUUUCCUACAGAACAGCUGAAAUACACCCAGCGUGGCUGAAAGAACCCAAGAUUUACCAACUAAAAAGCUAUGAACCAUUCAAUUUGUCAUCAGCCUCAGGUGGGAGUCACUAAUUGAGUUCUUUGUCCAAGAAUUAGGCAUUUCUGUCCCUCCCUCAGCAACAUUUUGGGGAAAGUCCUAAGCUUGCAGUUCUGUGCUUUGGCGCUGGCCUCCCUCCUUGGAAACCAGAAACAAAAAUGACUCAUUAAGCAGCUUGUGUGUGAUGUCAUGACGGGGGCUUUACACUGAACCCUUAUCUCACUUUUCCAUGAAGUCGUCUCCUUAAACAUUUAAGAAGUUGGUCAGUGGCAAGGUGAUGUUCUGAUAACCCAUAGCAGCUUCUAAAAGGGAGAGCGAAAACCACACAAGGUAUGUAUGUUAGGAUUUUGGAUUUCAGGACUGAGUUUUUGGCGUGGAGGAGGUAAUAUUUUGGCCUCAAUUUCUUCACAUAUGAAGAUAUGUUGAUGGUAAUAUUCACACAGGGCUUUGUGAGCAAAUGCGUGCACAUGUGAAACUUUUUUUUUUUUUGAGUGAGAGGGGUAAGAGGGGGUUGGGGUUAGCAAUUUAUUUAUUUAUUUAUUUAUUUUAUUUUAAAGGCACAAAGGCAAAGAGAUAGAGAUCAUCCGUCUACUGGUUCAUUCCCCAGAUGCCAGCAGUAGUCAUGGUUGAGCCAGGCUGAAGCCAAGAGCCGGGAACUCCGCCUGGGUCUCCUGUGCGGGCUGCAGGGACUUCAGGGACUCCUUGAAACACCACUGCUGCCUGCUAGAGUAUGCACUAGCAGCAAGUGGGAUUAGGAGCAGAGAGCCAGGACUCAAACCAGGCACACUUGUAUGGGAUGCAGUUGUGACUUAUCUGCUGUGCCAAACACCUGCCCCAUGGCACAUCUCACACAGGAUCCAGGAUGUGACUGGCCAGCCAAGGGAGUUUGUUUUUAUUGGAAACAAUGCUGAGGCUGCCAUUAGCGCUUGUCGUAGAAGGGAGGAUCGAAAAGGAAAGGGCUGUGGGACCAGCUCUUCUUUCUUCCUGUUUGAAAAUACAUAUAUGGGGGUGAGUGUGUGUGUGGGGUCUUCAAAAGGGGCCGGUGCUGUGGCUCAGCUGGUUAGCAGCCCCAGCAUCCUGUAUUCAUUUCCACUUCCGAUCCAGCUCCCUGCUAAUACCCCUGGGAAGGCAGCAGAGGAUGGCCCAAGUGCUUGGGCUCCUGCACCCAUGUGGGGGAACUGGAUGAAGCUCCUGGCUCCUGGCUUUGGAUCAGCCCAACUCAGGCUAUUGCGGCCAUUUGGGGUGUGAAUCAGUGGAUGGAAGACCUCUCUCUCAGUCUCUGUCUCUUCCUCUCUAUGGCUCCGCCUUUCAGAUAAAUAAAUAAAUUAGUAUAAAGAAAAUACAUGUUAGGAAACAACUAUGCCUGGAUCUCAAGGUUUUUGCAUUGAAUUUUCAACAUUUAAAAAUUAUUUUCAUUUUAUUUGAAAGGGCUACAGAGACAGAGACCUCCAGUCUUCUGCUUCACUACGCUUACAACUGCCAAUGCUUGCCCAAGCUGAGGCCAGGAGCUAGAACUCCAUCCUGGUCUCCUGUGCGGGUGGCAGGGGCACAAGCACUUGAGUCAUUUCCUUUUGUCUCCCAGGGUACACAUUAGCAGGUACCUGGAAUUGGAAGUGAAGCUGGGAUUCAAACCCAGGCACUCCCGUGUGUGGUGUAGGCUUCCCAAGCAGCACGUUAACCAUCUUAAUCACUGCACCAUGCCUGCCCUGAAACUUCCCUUUCUAUUCCAUUUCCCACAAACUUUUCAAAGUACCCUUAUAUGAAUACUGCAGCAUAUAUAAUUAUUGCCUUUUAAGGAGUCUGUACUAUAUGAAAUUUAAAGAAGAGAGAAAUAAAUAGGUGACAUGAAGGCAAGAAAGAAAAUGAAAGAAGAAGGGUUUGGGGCUGGUGUUGUGGUGUACCCAGUAAUGAUGCUGCAUGCGAUGCUGGCAUGCAAUAUGGGCACUGGUUUGGGUCCCAACCUCUCCACUUCUGAUCCAGCUCCCUGCCAACAUGCCUGGGGAAAGCAGUGGAAGAUGGCCCAAGUGUUUGGGCCUCUGCACCCAUGUGGGAGACCUGGAUGAAGCUCCUGGCUUAGGCCUGGCCCAGCCCCACUGUUGCAGCCAUCUGAGGAGUGAACCAGCAGAUGGAAAGUCUCUCCCUCCCUCUCUCUCUCUCUCUCAUCUUCUUUCUCUUCUCUCCGCCCCUCUGUCUGUAACUCUGACUUUCCAGUCAAUAAAUUUUCACCAAUAAAGAAAGCAAGCAAGCUAGGUUGAGUGAGGAAUAAUGUGCCUUUUUUUUUUUUUUGAGAUUUUUAUUUAUUUAUUUGAAAGGUAGAGUUACAGAUAGUGAGAGGGAGAGACAGAAAAGUCUUCCUUCCGUUGGUUCACUCCCCAAAUGGCUGCGAUGGCCGCAGCUGCGCUGAUCUGAAGCCAGGAGCCAGGUGCUUCCUCCUGGUCUCCCAUGCGGGUGCAGGGGCCCAAGCACUUGGGCCACCUUUUACUGCUAUCCCAGGCCAUAGCAGAGAGCUGGAUUGGAUGAAGAGCAGCCGGGACUAGAACUGGCACCCAUAUGGAAUGCCAGCGCCUCAGGCGGAGGAUUCACCUACUGCACCACGGCGCCGGCCCCAUAUACUUUCAAAAUACUCAUUCUGAGUGGUGUAUGAGGAUGUGAAAAUGUAAAAUGGUUCCGUGGGCUGUCAGCUCAGCUCAUGUUCUCCAAUGUUUUAAGUUAGGAAUGGUGUUGGGCAAGGUAGAAGAGAGCAUUCUACACAUUACUGAUAUUCUGAAUCACUUUGAGAACUUUAUAAGCAUAUAAGUGCCUGUACCCCACCCGAGAGUUUUGAUUCUGUAGAUCUGGGUGGAGUCCAGUGUUUUUACAAAGGUCUUCAGAUGAGUUUUGAUGCACCUCUGUGUUUGCCUUUGUUCAGCAGUGUUUGCUGGGCUCCUUUACUGAAGCCCCUUCUUUCUGCAGAGCAAGAAAAAUACGCAUGGCAGAGUGGCCCGAAUGAAACCUGGAACAGCCUUACCUUUGUCCAUUACAAAACAGUUUGCCCCUUUUUGCCUGCCCUUCCUAAGGAGCCAACUUUUCUAACCUCAGGAGCAGCAAGGAGCUGCAGUGGCGACACCCAGUGGUUCUUGAAGGCAUUUCCCUUUUCAUGGAGGACCUCAACUUUGGUAUUUUGAUGACUUAAUGUAAAUAAGGUGUUGUUUUCCACGUUCCUCUCUCCAGUCAGUUAGGAGAGGCACUCUUUAGUUCUGGUAUACCUCACUCACCAGAAAUGCUAAAACAUUGAAAAACAAACACACAAAGGAAAUUCGAUCCUGACCCCUUGGGUACUCUCCAGUGUAAACACUUUUGUUUGGUUGUUUCUAGAAACAGGUGAUUUUUGUGAAGUGAAGGAAAGCCAAACAUAAACUCUGUAUGCAAAAACCAUGAUAAUAUUACGGAAACCGCCGGUGUGUUUCUCACAAGCAAGACAGUGACUCACCAACAAGACAGCAUUACGUACUCGCCUGAAGCGAGAAUUCUGCAGGCUGAUGGAAGAAAGUGAAUCUGGGAUGAAGGUCAGGACUCCCUUCCUGACCAUCUGUGUGAGCUUAAACUUAGAAAUCUGCUCGGAAUAUCUCGAUUAAAAAAAAGCAACCACAAUAGAAGUAGGUUUGGUUCAUUUGUGUCUGAGUUCAGGCUUUAACAAAUUAGCAUACACUGAAUGGCUUAUGAAAACAGAAAUUAAUGGCUCACAGUUCUGGAAGCUGGAAGUCCCAGGGGAUUGGUGUCUGGGGAGGACUAGCUUUCUCACAGCCAUUUCCUUACUGUGGUCUCACAGGGUGGACAAGCCAGUGGGAUCUGUGGGGCUCCCUUUUGAGGGCACUCAUCCUAGUCAUGAGGGCUCUGUUCUCAUGAUCUGAUCAUCCCAAAGGCUCCACUUCCUGUUACCAUCACCUUGGAGGUGAAACUUUCCAUACAUGGCGGCUGGUAUUUUGGUGCAGUGUGUUAAACCGCCACCUGUGACGCUGACUUUCCAUAUCAACACUGGGUUGAGUCCUGGCUGCUCCAUUUCCCAUCCAGCUUUCUGCUAAUGCAUCUGGGAAAGCAGUGGAGGAUGGUUCAAGUAGUUUGGCCCCAUCACCCAUGUGGGAGACCAAGAAGGAGUUGCAGGCUCCUGGCUUCAACCUGGCCCAUCUCUGGAUGUUGGGACCAGUUGGGGAGUGAACCAGCGGAUGGAAGAUCUUUCUUUUUCUGUCUUUCUCUCUCUUUUUCUGUAACUCUGUCUUUCAAGUAAAAAUAUUUUUAAAAUGUUUCAAUGUAUGAAUUUUGAGGGGGACACAAACCUUCAGUGCGUAAUGUCUUGUGUAUUUCCUAAACCAAAAAUGUUUAUACAUAUAUCCUACUGCAUGUAACUAAGUUGAAAUCAAAUUAUAUAGGAGGAAAAUCAAUAGAUAGUUCUCACAAUUUUUUAAAAAACAUAUUUAUUUUUUUGAAAGGCAGAGUUACAGAGAGGCAGAGGCAGAGAGAAAGAAGUAUUCCAGCUGAUGGUUCACUCCCCAAAUUGCUGCAGCAGCCGGAGCUGGGCCAAUCCGAAUCCAGGAGCCAGGAGCUUCUUCCGGGUCUCCCACGUGGUACAGGGGUCCAAACAUUUGGGCCAUUUUCUACUGCUUUUCCAGGCCAUAGCAGAGAGCUGAAGCAGAAGAGGAGCAGCUAGGACUCAAACUGGCACCCAUAUGGGAUGCUGGCACUGCAGGCAGCGGCUUUACCAGAUGCACCACAGCGCUGGCCCCAGCUCUCAGUAUUUUUACCGUAUAACAAUAUUCAUCAAAGAAUUUCUUUAAACAGUGACCGUAUGUUUAUUCUGUAUGCAUGGAAGUUAUGACUAAGUCUUUAAAAUUUUGUUAUACAUACUUUAAGAAAUAUAUUUACUAGGUACUGAGACACACCCAGAUUACAAACAAAAGAAAGAGGAAGUUGGGCAAUUGAUGGGCGUGUGGACAAGAAAAGUCUCAGUGUUUAGCUGUUUUGGACUGUGUGCUUCACGACAUUGGCAGAGGAAGAACACUAAAGACAAGACACAGAGGAAAUGGGAUUACUCUUGGUCUCAGGGCCCAUCAUUUUAUAGUUGGAACUAACAGAUUUACUUAAAGACCAUCCUGUAUACUCCACUAGUCACAGGCCACCUGUACUAGCCUAACUGCUGAGUCUAUCUACCCAUCCACAGGAAGUACACUUUAAAUUUCCUCCCUGUUUUUCAAAUGUCAUUUUCCUUAUCUUUUAUUCAUUGUGCCUAUCCUGUGCAUCUAAAAUCUGACAAUAAAAGGAAAUACGAACAUUUAAGAUUUUCUUUUACCACUUUCUAACUGGGGGAGACAACUAGUCUUUUGUUUAGCUCCUUAAGGCUGACUAAUCUUUAGUCUUUAGUAGUGGGCAGAUGCAUUGAGAAAACUGUUGGGAGACGAUUCACAUAAAAACUAAAAACAGCAGUCAGCUGAGCUGGUAGGCCACGGGCUUGCAGCUGUAGACAAUUUAAUGAUCAGAAAUACCGAACAAAGAGAACUUUUAUGAGUUAUCGUCUAUUUUUGAGCUAAAUGUUCUAACAUUUAUGAAUGACUAAUUGAUGAGGCAUCAGUCUAGAAUGCCUCUGCAUUUCACAUUCAUGUGGGAAUAAUUGGGAGGGGAUCAAGAGGAUUUUUCAGUAGCUUCUGAUUUAUAAAUUGUUCCAAGAUAGAAUGCUUUACCUUAAACUAAGAGUGUCCCUGGAUUGAAAUAUUGGGAUCUUUACAACUUCCUGUGAAGUUGUUUGACAUAUCCCCCCACCCUCCGCCGAAAAGAGAAAAUUUUAUUUUUUUCCUCAUCUUUUGUUAUUUUUUAAAAUCUAAUUAGAUGCUAACAUGGAUUGAACAAGCUUGUGCCAUCCUGGCCUGCCUCCUAGAGCAUAAAACUUUCUAUUACAGCUUAUAAUCAUUGUUUUUUCAAAUCAUUCUGUAUGUUUCUUUCCCCAUGAACCAAAAAACGAGGUUCAUCUGGCUUUCAAGUUUUUCAUUUAGUACUGACAGUUUAAUCAUAAUCUUAAAAUUAUUGUUUUAUCAAAGUUUUAAUAAUUCUGUUCAAAUAGUUUAAUUGGUUACCCCAUUUGCUUCAUAAAUUGAGUGCAAACUUAUUGAUCUGACAUAUAAGACUUCCAGGAUUCCAAUCUCAUUUCUGAUUGCUACUUAAAACCUAUGAAGUACCCACUAAGCAUGAAGUCAAGUUGUGAGAGUAGACGGGGACAGAAUGUGGAAGACUCUAUUUUCUUCAGUAGUAGAGAAAGUCGUUGAGCACACAGGAGGCGGGAUCAGGUCUGUGUCUUGGGAGUGCCUGGCUGUCGGUGGGGUGGAGGAUGAGACUAAGGGAGGAGUCUGGCAAAGACCAUGCCUGAAGAAGUGGAGGAAAGGUAGCGUUGGGAGUCGGCUUUUUUUUUUUUUUUUUUUAAUUUGGGAAGCCUAACAAAGAAAUUAGUUGAUAUUGUGCUGAUCAUUUGUUAAAGAGGGGAAAGAAAGAUGGUGACGUUCCAAAUACUAAUAGCUGAGUAAGACUAAGUCUGUUCCCACCAACAUUUGGCCCUUUUCAGGACUUUGUGAAAACUGUCUGCAGCUCAUGGCUCCCUCAGUUUUUCAGAAACUCGGUCUCAAAAUCUUGAUACAGUGCUUCAU